AUUUAUUUAAUAUAAAAAGUAUAUUUGAUUUCCAAUCAAAAAGUCUAAUUACCUAUAGAAUAAAUA
rnacentral:tRNA from 2 species